UCGAAAGGGUGUGGGCGCGUGGGCGUUUU
rnacentral:sRNA from 1 species